UACGUAGGGGGCAAGCGUUGUCCGGAAUCAUUGGGCGUAAAGAGCGUGUAGGCGGCCCGAUAAGUCCGCUGUGAAAGUCCAGGGCUCAACCCUGGAAUGCCGGUGGAUACUGUCGGGCUCGAAUCCGGAAGAGGUGAGUGGAAUUCCUGGUGUAGCGGUGAAAUGCGCAGAUAUCAGGAAGAACACCCGUGGCGAAGGCGGCUCUCUGGGACGGUACUGACGCUGAGACGCGAAAGCGUGGGGAGCAAACAGG
rnacentral:rRNA from 1 species